GAUGAACGCUGGCGGCGUGCCUAAUACAUGCAAGUCGAGCGAACAGACGAGGAGCUUGCUCCUCUGACGUUAGCGGCGGACGGGUGAGUAACACGUGGAUAACCUACCUAUAAGACUGGGAUAACUUCGGGAAACCGGAGCUAAUACCGGAUAAUAUAUUGAACCGCAUGGUUCAAAAGUGAAAGACGGUUUUGCUGUCACUUAUAGAUGGAUCCGCGCCGCAUUAGCUAGUUGGUAAGGUAACGGCUUACCAAGGCAACGAUGCGUAGCCGACCUGAGAGGGUGAUCGGCCACACUGGAACUGAGACACGGUCCAGACUCCUACGGGAGGCAGCAGUAGGGAAUCUUCCGCAAUGGGCGAAAGCCUGACGGAGCAACGCCGCGUGAGUGAUGAAGGUCUUCGGAUCGUAAAACUCUGUUAUUAGGGAAGAACAAAUGUGUAAGUAACUAUCCACGUCUUGACGGUACCUAAUCAGAAAGCCACGGCUAACUACGUG
rnacentral:rRNA from 1 species